ACAUCAUGAUGACCCGAGCCAACGUCGACAUCGAAAUGCGGCCCUUUGGCGUCUACACGCUCAACUAUAUGUCAUUCAAAGAUUUGAUGAAAACGGCGUAUUCCUUUGGGAACAUUCUUUAUACAAAGAAGCUGAGUAGUCAAACACAAUAUUAAAAUUGGGAAGUAUUUCAAAAAUGAAAACCAAUGUGCAGGACAACAUAGGUUUUGAUUGGAGUUACUUUCUAUUGUUACAUCAAAAAUGUUUAGUCCCAGUGAAAUUGAAUGCAAGGAUAUUUUGUUAAUGUAAGAGUAAUAUCAGUUGAUAAAGUGAGUAUCUGA